UACAGAGGGUGCGAGCGUUAAUCGGAAUUACUGGGCGUAAAGCGUGCGUAGACGGUUAUGUAAGUCAGGUGUGAAAGCCCCGGGCUCAACCUGGGAAUUGCAUUUGAGACUGCGUAGCUAGGGUGCGGAAGAGGGAAGCGGAAUUUCCGGUGUAGCGGUGAAAUGCGUAGAUAUCGGAAGGAACACCAGUGGCGAAGGCAGCCCCCUGGGUCAAGAUUGACGCUCAUGCACGAAAGCGUGGGGAGCAAACAGGAUUAGAGU
rnacentral:rRNA from 1 species